ACAAGGUCUCACGCACGCUCACACACACACACACUCUCUCUCUCACACACACACACACACACACACACACUUC